CGGCACGAAGGCACGGCACAGGCAUAGAAUAAAUAAUUCAUGUAUCGACAAGUAUAGAUAGAUGGAUAAAGAUGAAUCAUAUAGCAAGUGUAUGAAAGCAGAAUAGGGUUUUUGUUGGCAUCGGGAAUGACGCCAACUAGGGUUCGGGGCUCGACCUUGGAGCCGAUGGGCUGUGGUAGCAGCUGUUGUUCUUCGGAUGCAGCGAAGUGGUGGUCAUGCUUGGUCGCGCGGCUUCGUCAUUGGCCGGUGCUCGGCAAGGUGUUGCAAAGGCGAUCAGCGGUGCUGCGAGGUUCCACUCAUGGUAGCUCUAGCGUUGCGGCUUCCAUGGGAAGGUGCAGCAGGUCCGAGGCCUCCCUGUGACAGUGGUUGAACACGGCACCCAGGCCGACUGUUAGCCAAGAACCACGGUAUGGUCUUCAGAACGGAAAGAAAGGUAUGGCCUUGGCUUGAGAGCUCACCGAUGACAGAGAAGGGCUUGGCGAGGACGAGGCGAGCACGGCACUGACGAGGGGAACUGGUGGGGGCGCUGCUCGACGUCGUGGCCGCAGGGGUGGUGCUUGGCGCUCGGGUUCGCGGUCACCACGGGGUUGCUGGGUCACGACCAGCGCUGCGGACGACGGUGUCGUGGAGGAGGGCUCGGAGCAGAACUCGGUGAGGACGCAGCGUCGCGGGGUCGGGGCUCCUGCUCGGCGAGGGCGCGGAGAUCCUACUCGACGUCGAGGUAGAGGCGCGGCUUGACGGCGGCGGGUGCGCGGGGUGGUGCCGAGGACGAGGCGUGUCGCGGACACGGCGUCGCGACGGCGGUGCGCGGGGACAGGGCUCGGCGCGGCGGGGCGUCCGCGCGGCCGGCCAGGUCGGAGACGCGGACACGGAGAGGCUCCGUGCUCGCGGUGCUGGCCGAAGACGGGGCUCGGGGAAGAGCUCGCGGUUGUGCGUCGUGACGCGGCCACGGCGAGGUUGGUGUCGCAGGCGAAGGACCUCGACGUCGGGGUCGCGGGUGCGGCUCGGCGGUGCUCGGCGGCGUCGUGGCCCGGGGCGGGGUUGACGCGAGGGCGCGGAGCUCCUGAUGGGGCGCCGAGGUCCUGGCCGCGGCCGAGGCUCGUAAAGACGAGGUCGUCGCGGGGCACCGAGGCGGCUCGGCAGUGCUGUGGCGCCCGCGCGGCCAGCCGUGGUCGAAGCUCGACGCGGCGAGGGCAGCGUCGCGGCUGGCCACGGCUCGGCGAAGGUGGCUUCUGGGCGUCAUGUCAGCCGUCGAGGCAAGGGCGCCGUCGUCUCGGGCUCUCGGUGGCGCAGUGGGUGCUCGUCGCGGACAACUCAAGCGCCUGCGUCCCGGUGCGGCCGUGGCAUCCGCGUGGCCGUCCGCGGUCGCGAGUCCGCACGACGCCGCGGUCGCGGAGGACGCCGGGGCCUCGGUGGCGUCCAGGCUUGACGUGAAGGCGUUGUCGCGGCGCCGGUCAUGGAGGACAAGGCGGAGGGCGGCGGCGCUGGGUGGAGGGAACAGAGGACUGCGGCGGCGCCACUAGGGAAGAGCUCGAGGGCGUGGCGGCGGCUGGGCUCUUUAUAGGCGUCGAGGCUAGGGCUUCAGAGUGGAGGCGUUCAUCCUCGGCGUCCGUGUCCGCAGCGGGACACGCGGCGGGAAUCCUGGGCUGGCGCGGACAGGGACAGGAGGGGCGCUGGCGCUCGUGGCCUUUCCACCGAGCGGUGGCGGUGGCGGCUCUACCUGGGAGCGGCGCGGUUCCUAGGGUUGGGGAGAAGGGGGCGCUGCCUCCCUCAUGGGCCACGGCCUGGGCCUUGGCGACUUGGGCCGUAGGUGAAGGGGGACGAGUGAGCUGGGGGCAAGACGCGCUGGCGGGCCGUGGUGCUGCGUCGCUGGGCCUUGCGCGCGAAAGGGCCAAGCAUGGAGGAGGGAGGGCGCUGGUCGCGUGGGCCAAAGGGAGAAAAGAAAAGAAAAAAAAGGGUAGGAGGGGAGUAGGAAAUGGAUUUUGGCCCGAAAGAGAAGGAUUUUCCAUUUACGAACUUGACUCAAGGGCUUUGAGAGAGAAAUUUAAAAAGGGGAAAGAAUCGAGGGGGAUUCGAGAGAGAACUCAAAAAGAGAUUAAGAUGAGUUGCCAUGAAUUCAAGAUGGAUUUAGCGGUAGGGAUUUAGAGAGGAGGUCGACAAGAGAAAAGGUUUGAGAAGGGAAUUUCGGGGAGAGUUCGGAAAGAAUUCAAGGAAGUUGAGAAGGGAUUCGCUUCGCCUUUGAGAUAGGCUCAAAGAAAAUUUGAGAAGACUUCGCUAGGGAUUUAUGCACUCCAAAAGAAACUCAAAACCCUAAACAAGACCCAACUUAAGACGACUCACGAACAAAAUCACUCGCCUACAAACAAAUCUACAUGUAUGCCACGAUUUGUUAGCGGGUUAGGAUCGAGUUAGACCUGAAAACUAUAUGCUUCACACGGUUACAUGAAAAAUUUUAAAAAGCUCGUAUUUUUGGUUUUUUUUUUUGUAAAAAUCCGGGAUGUUACAGUCCACCCACCUUACAGGAAUCUCGUCCCCGAGAUUUAGGCGUUGCUCGGUCGGUGAAGAGACGAGGGUGUCGUUCUCAAAGCCUUUCUUACUUCUGAGUUGUUUCACUUUCAAUGUGAUCGCUCCACAAACUUUUUCCAAAAUGGGAGUGACUCUUGUUCCAAGUGUAUGCAAGGCUCACUUGCAGUCGUUGGGCAUCCAAAUUUUCACAUCAGGGCGAUGGGUGUCCAAGAAUCGCACGGGGUUGAUGAACAUCUGGCUCUCAAAGAGUGCAUGGCAGGCUUAAACGUAGCUAGGGUUGUUGGCUUUCAAUAGCUGUUUUUCGUGCAUCACUCUUUGCAAAAAGCUUUUGAAAGGAAUGUUUUUCGGAAAAACAGGUUUCAUAAAUGGAGUGAAAGCGAUUUUACAAAGUCAAAUGGAUUUUAAAGAGAGCUCAAACUGAAAAUAGCUUAUGGAAAGGGUUGAAAUCAGCGCAAAUUUUGAAAACCAAGUUUAUUUAUUUUAUUAUAAUUAUUAUUUUAAGAUUUUUGAUGUAAAAGAUUUCAAAUCAAGAGACUUUGAAACUCUUUUAGUUUUCUAGAUGAGGCGUUGCUCUCUUUUAUUUGAACUAAACAAACUAGUUUUGAAAAUGAUUAGAAAUCAUUUCUCUCUUUUGAAAGAUAAAGCUUUAACAACAAUAACAUUUUCUUUCAAAACUUGUAAGUUCAUUUUGUUUUUGCUAAUUUUUUUUUUGGAAGGCCGCAAACAAAAUUCUUUUCGCAAUGGUUUUUGUUUAAUAAAACACUGAAAAUUCCUUUUUCUUUUAGGACAAGGUGGAUUUUUAAAAGGAAUUUGGCUCUCGAGAUAAAAUCAAAGGUCUUUACAACAAAACUGAGCCAAAGAUCUUUGAUCUAAAAACCAUUUUGUUGAUGAAAAAGCAAGACUUUUGUUUUUCAGAAGAUGGUUGGUAACACCUUUUGAAAGAUAACUUAUUUUUAAAUAGUUUCAUAAAUAGAGUUUGGAUAAAAUUGAGUUGAGAAAAGGGUUAAAAUGGCUCUCUUUGUGAAAAUGAAAGAUAUUAAGAGAGUUUUGAAACACUUUUCCUUUUGAAACAAGGAUGCUUUUGUUAGAGAGGGGACAUUUUAACCAAAAGGAGAGAAAAUUUUGAAGACAGGUUCAUUUUGGAAGCCAAAAACAGUUUUGAAAUAGGCGAGCAUCACAUGAUGCAACAGCUUUACCUAACUUUUAACUUUGUUAGUCAGGGCCACCUAUCUAGUCUCGGGACGGUCUUAGGUUUAGCCGACUAGGUUGGACGGAAUCCAGAGUUUUUCUCGCAUAAAACAGGUUCUAUGACUUACACCCAGACAACAAGAAGCAGAAGAAACGCAACAACAUAAGAUCCAAGCACUCAAACAGCAUUACAACUCCUAAUGCAUAGUGUUGACUUGAGGCGACUCACAGACCUUCAAAGUCUCACACAACUAUCGAUCUAGCGUGGGCGGGUAUGGGAAAAGAUUCCAACGGUCAACUUUAUGAAACAGGGAGGUCAGUUAGCAGCAGAAUUCAAGGCGGAGGGGGGAAAACAAGUGUUAGCAUCUAUAACUCUACAAAAGAUAGAAUGUUUGGCUUCUAAACUAGUGUUUGGUCCUAAAGGUCUCGUCCUAGGGUCAAGUAUGGCUCUGAUACCAACUGAAACGACCUAGAUUUUUCCACAAAGGGGAAAAAUCCUCAGAUUCGAAUUAUAAUGUGAUAAUUCAGAUAUUGAGCCAUCACAUUAUCAUAUAUCAGCUGUUAUCGCAGUCAUACAUCGUGAAAAAGAAGAUUACAUCACAUUUACUUUACAACUCUUAGUUAACAAGCCUAUUACAUCGUUUUACUAGCGGAAACACACACGAAUCUUUUUCAGAGUCGAUGUAGCGCGUCAGCAGUGAGGGCUCCUCCUUCACGGGCAAUCAUCAGAGUCGGCGUAGUUUAUCAGCGGGCGUAGCCUUCAUCUCCGAACCAAACUUGAGCGCAGGAACGAGACCACCUAAUCCUUCUAUUCUCCGUAGUUAUCAUCAUAGACCACAUCCAAAACCUGCUAAACAAUUUUCAGUACGAUUUGUACUGGCCACUGGCUCCCACCCUAUGCUUUUGCUUAAGCUUUGUGGUAAGUGGAAUGCAAAGGGUAGAUCAAGAGGCCUAUAUAUAUGGCUGUAGUCUUUCCUAUGCAAGUUCAUCAAUAUUUAAUAAUAAUAUUUCAUCAAGUUUUAUUCCAUCUCAUCCACACAUCCAUCCAUCCAUCCCAUCACACACAUCUCACCACACUCUCACUCUCUAGGCGGCAAGUACGACUCCCGCUCGUGCCUUGCCUCAACGGCCAACGCCGGAUCCAACACAAACCCAGGGGAAGGUAGAAAGGACUCCUCUCACUAGUCAAGCGAAGCGGAACAUAGGAAAGGUCCAUAGCCGAGAAGACGGCAUAUGUAUCGAUCGAUCAACCAAACUCUGCAGAGGUUUACACUAACCACAAGAUCACCAUCAUCGACGAACCGGCUCGUCUAGGCUGAUACCGGGCUGCCUUCCAACUAAAUACGAUGCCACCCUACCACUCAGGACUGGGGCCAUACCGGAGUACCACCGGCAUGCUGAGACUGUGAGGCGUAGUACCGGGCCCCCAAGGGUCACUACGCUGUCUUAGGAGGGUGUGGGUCCUCAUGCCCGUACCUCCCUACACUAUCCGCUAUCAACCUAGUAGUAGUGGCACCGCACUAGCUGGUCGUACAUCCGUCCCGCACCAUAAUAAGGCGAGUGGCGUGUAAGGCUUCCUACGAACCGGUUCUCAGAACAUCUCAGUCCUUAGGGUAACCGAACAGGACAUCUUCACGAGGGGCCAGCCGAUGCCCCUCUCGACGGGACACCCGGCUACCCCGUGCUAAACAGCACCUCCCAUCCCGGUGCUUCGUCCCACGAAGACACUCCACUCCGGGACCUCUCCCUGUCACAUGUACCCGCCACAGGUAUCUCUCAUGGAGAACGCCCAGGUAGCGUUCCCCGGCAAGACUUGUCCCAAGACUCGUCGUAAAUCCUGCUCGGUCGACUCAACCCUCACCACACACCCAAGACACACGCCAAGAUCUCCCCAUAUCCAUUAUCCAUUUCUUAACCAGUUAUCGGCACACGUGCCUUAUCCACUCACAUCCAAUCCUCCACAAUGCAUCACAUCACAGAUAUAAUGCGUAGUAGAAGCAGUAGCAAGUAGUAUGCAAGCAUCUAACCUAACAGCGGGUGUGCGAGGGUUAUAGGUUGCAACAAGGCAAUGGCUCACAAGCAUUUCUACCAUGCAACCUAUCAUAGUUCAUUUGCAUAAAAGUAAAGCACUAGCAUCUAUAAUAUUGCAUGUCUAAUAGGAUUCUACGAGGUUGGGUGGGACGUGGCACCUGUCGAGUGACAUUUCCAGGAUCCUCAGUUCACUUGUAGUUGUACUCAUCCAAGGUCUUUCUCCUAUCUGCAUGUCCUUCCUUCGACUGGUUCCGAUUCGAUCAUCGCUAACCGAAGCAACUACCUCGUAAACGACAAUCAAGGCGAAACAAUCAAACCACUAGACCUAGAAAGAUCAUGAUAAGAGGCGACAAAACACUGAAGAACAACUACACUAAAAGAGCACCGAAAGGAAAACAACUUAGCCCUCUCGGCGGAUGUCCGAUCCCUGGGCUAAAAGAAACGGGAAUGGUUGUUCACUAAGUACAAGCCAGAGUCUUAGCCUAGCCGGUACUUCCCGGGUUAACUGAGUCAACCUGUACGGCUUUAUUAAAUGGCUUAGACUCUAACUCAUUCUAAGCAAACACCACAACUUACAGUCUUUCGAUCCAAGUGUCAUAGAGAUCGACAGGAAUCGAAAAGGCUAUGAGCACGGGAAGUUCCGGUCUCUCUCAAUCCAUACGCCAUUGUAGUUGGCGAGAGCCAAGAGAGGGUGGAACAAGGAGAGAAGAAAAAGGGAAGUGGUCUACUCCUUCCAAUCCACUUGCCAUGGUAAUAGACGGGGUAAUCAGAAAGAGUGACAUACAAGAACACGAGUGCUCAAACUACUUGUAGGGUACCACAACCUAGGUACACUGAAUGCACUAAGACAUCCCUAGGGUUCUUAGCAGUGCGGUUGUCACCACGAGAACCAAAGAAAUGCUACGGUCGAAUAGGUACAAGCAUACAAGAGUUUAAACACAAAGAACCAAAAAGGCGGGAAAAGACACGGGUUUCACUUCCUAUUGAUCCACUUGCCAUAGCAACAGCGGGAAUCGUAGAAAUGGAAUCAAAACACCAAACAAACAAAAGGGCUCAAUCCACAUAUUACUGGAUCUACAGGGAUUGAGAACAAGAGAGAAGAGGAAUGGAGUCCAUACUGUUUCGACCAACUCAUCAUGGAAUGAACGACGGUUGGAUGAAAGAGAUACGACCCCACGAUCCAACCCUACUCGUAGGGUACCACGACUGUGCAUCUAAUCAGCACACGGCUAUUCCUAAGGCCCGUAGCGAUGCGGUUGUCACCGCUAGGUCCGAGGGAAUGCUAUAGUCGAAGUGGUGCAAGCAUACGAGGUGGUUAGGAUAAACACGCGAGAAAUGGGGUAAAGCCGGAUGGUCAUGGCAAGGUGGACUUGCGACCAUUAGCUUCACCCAACGAGUUGGCUUCUGACUGUUCUACAAGGGUUGCUCCUAAUCUGUAUCCCACUAGACUAGAUCACAGAGAACUCGAAGGUGCGGGUAAGAACCGCGUCGUUAUGAAUAUCGAGUCCGCAAAGAUCAAACCCCAGGGACGAGGAUAGGAGCUAACAAGCGUAGCGUGACGAAGUCAACUAAACACGGGGAGACGAGUUACGCUCGGCAUCGCGAUCACGGCGGGACGAACCCACGAUCGAAAUGAUCAAACGCACUACCACUUCCCCGACCGGCUCGAAGGCUCAGUCCUCAGGCAAAUAACAAAAGAAAGAACGACGACAACCCGAGAAGGGAUAUGCUUGGCACUACGACCAUGGCGAGACAACUCGCGAUCGCAACAUUCAAACACAUCACUCUCUCAACCGGCUCGAAGGCACGGUUCACAACCAACCAACCACAUGACACAAGAACCAACGCACAAAGAACCACAAUGCCGCGACCAACACAAAGACAAAGUAGAGUAGCACAUUUCCAUAGCGACCAACAGAGAUAGAUAAACGGAUAGAUAAACAGACCGGCACGAAGGCACGGCACAGGCAUAGAAUAAAUAAUUCAUGUAUCGACAAGUAUAGAUAGAUGGAUAAAGAUGAAUCAUAUAGCAAGUGUAUGAAAGCAGAAUAGGGUUUUUGUUGGCAUCGGGAAUGACGCCAACUAGGGUUCGGGGCUCGACCUUGGAGCCGAUGGGCUGUGGUAGCAGCUGUUGUUCUUCGGAUGCAGCGAAGUGGUGGUCAUGCUUGGUCGCGCGGCUUCGUCAUUGGCCGGUGCUCGGCAAGGUGUUGCAAAGGCGAUCAGCGGUGCUGCGAGGUUCCACUCAUGGUAGCUCUAGCGUUGCGGCUUCCAUGGGAAGGUGCAGCAGGUCCGAGGCCUCCCUGUGACAGUGGUUGAACACGGCACCCAGGCCGACUGUUAGCCAAGAACCACGGUAUGGUCUUCAGAACGGAAAGAAAGGUAUGGCCUUGGCUUGAGAGCUCACCGAUGACAGAGAAGGGCUUGGCGAGGACGAGGCGAGCACGGCACUGACGAGGGGAACUGGUGGGGGCGCUGCUCGACGUCGUGGCCGCAGGGGUGGUGCUUGGCGCUCGGGUUCGCGGUCACCACGGGGUUGCUGGGUCACGACCAGCGCUGCGGACGACGGUGUCGUGGAGGAGGGCUCGGAGCAGAACUCGGUGAGGACGCAGCGUCGCGGGGUCGGGGCUCCUGCUCGGCGAGGGCGCGGAGAUCCUACUCGACGUCGAGGUAGAGGCGCGGCUUGACGGCGGCGGGUGCGCGGGGUGGUGCCGAGGACGAGGCGUGUCGCGGACACGGCGUCGCGACGGCGGUGCGCGGGGACAGGGCUCGGCGCGGCGGGGCGUCCGCGCGGCCGGCCAGGUCGGAGACGCGGACACGGAGAGGCUCCGUGCUCGCGGUGCUGGCCGAAGACGGGGCUCGGGGAAGAGCUCGCGGUUGUGCGUCGUGACGCGGCCACGGCGAGGUUGGUGUCGCAGCCUCGGCCCUUGGCGAAGGACCUCGACGUCGGGGUCGCGGGUGCGGCUCGGCGGUGCUCGGCGGCGUCGUGGCCCGGGGCGGGGUUGACGCGAGGGCGCGGAGCUCCUGAUGGGGCGCCGAGGUCCUGGCCGCGGCCGAGGCUCGUAAAGACGAGGUCGUCGCGGGGCACCGAGGCGGCUCGGCAGUGCUGUGGCGCCCGCGCGGCCAGCCGUGGUCGAAGCUCGACGCGGCGAGGGCAGCGUCGCGGCUGGCCACGGCUCGGCGAAG
rnacentral:lncRNA from 1 species